UACAGAGGGUGCGAGCGUUGUCCGGAAUCACUGGGCGUAAAGGGCGCGUAGGUGGCGACCCAAGUCCAUGGUGAAAGCUCGAUGCUCAACAUCGAGUCGGCCACGGAUACUGGGUUGCUCGAGCACUGUAGAGGCUAAUGGAAUUCCGGGUGUAGCGGUGGAAUGCGUAGAGAUCCGGAAGAACACCGGUGGCGAAGGCGGGUCUCUGGGCCGAUACUGACGCUGAGGAGCGAAAGCGUGGGGAGCGAACAGG
rnacentral:rRNA from 1 species